CCCAGACUCCUACGGGAGGCAGCAGUGGGGGAUAUUGCACAAUGGGGGGAACCCUGAUGCAGCGACGCCGCGUGGGUGAAGGAGCGUUUCGGCGCGUAAAGCCCUCUCGGCAGGGAAGAAGGAGGACGGUACCUGACUAAGAAGCCCCGGCUAACUACGUGCCGGCAGCCGCGGUAAUACGUAGGGGGCAAGCGUUAUCCGGAUUUACUGGGUGUAAAGGGGGCGCAGACGGCAGCGCAAGCCAGGAGUGAAAGCCCGGGGCCCAACCCCGGGACUGCUCUUGGAACUGCGCGGCUGGAGUGCAGGAGGGGCAGGCGGAAUUCCUGGUGUAGCGGUGAAAUGCGUAGAUAUCAGGAGGAACACCGGUGGCGAAGGCGGCCUGCUGGACUGCGACUGACGUUGAGGCCCGAAAGCGUGGGGAGCAAACAGGAUUAGAUACCCCGGUA
rnacentral:rRNA from 1 species